CGCACAUUGCGCCCUUUGGUAUUCCGAGGGGCAUACCUGUUCGAGCGUCAUUAUCAAUCUCAAGCCAUGCUUGUUUGUGGGAUUGCCCUAAAUGGGCAUGCCUGAAAGACAGUGGCGGUAGAUGCCAAUUUCAAGCGUACAAGCGAAAGCACGCGUGAAGAAUUUUGUGUCUGCUGCUUAUAUUAUUAUCUAAGAAUUGACCUCGGAUCAGGUAGGGAUACCCGCUGAACUUAA
rnacentral:misc_RNA from 1 species